GGCCCGCUCCUCCUUUCAGAGAGUGUUUCCGGAGCGCCUACUGUGUGCCCCUCCAUGGGGGUGGGGGCACUACCAGGCACAAAGGGUGCCGGUCCCCGUACCUUUGUAAGUUCGCCUCCUCCUCUGGGAGCUUGCCCUUGUGGGGAUGGGGAAACUGAGGCUCAGUCGGCUCAGAGUAACUCCCGGGUGCUAAGGGACCAGUUGUUUUGUCCGCUCGUAAGGCAAACGGCGCGGCGAAGACCUCUUGGGAUAAAACCCCAAGCCUAGCGCAGAGGGUCGGCCAGGGAAGCCUCUGGUGGGCAGUCACAAGCCCAUGGAUUCCACCAGUGACCCCAGGCCUGCUCACAUGAGUGACGCGUUCCUCCCCAUGGCCAGCAGCAGAGCGGACUGAAUGCUGGGUGACAGGCUGGCCUCAGACUCCGGUGCUCAAGGAUAUUCUUGCUUCAGGUUCCCAAAUAGCACUGCACACUGCACACGUGAAUCCCCAUGCCUGAUGCCCGGCUGAAGGCUCUCGAAAUCGUGAGGAAAGAAACCUGGGAGCAGUUGAAAGAAACCUACACCGCCAGCGACUUACAGGUUCCACAUCAGUUUGAAGUGGGAGACACGGUCCUGGUGAGGAGGCACUGAGCAGGGAACCUUGAGCCUCGUUGGAAAGGACCCUACCUGGUACUAUUAACUACAGCCACCACCCUUAAAGUAGAAGGAAUCCCCUCUUGGGUUCAUGCCUCACAUGUUAAGAGGGCUCCCCCUGAGACUGAUCGUGAUGAGUGGACCCUGGAAAAGACUAAUAAUCCUCUUAAGUUGCGCUUGCGUCACAAGAGCUACUCAGAACAGAGACUUCAACCCUCAUGCUCCAAUUCAACAAACAUGGGAAGUGCUU
rnacentral:lncRNA from 1 species